CGCACGGGUGAGUAACACGUAUCCAACCUGCCGUCUACUCUUGGACAGCCUUCUGAAAGGAAGAUUAAUACAAGAUGGCAUCAUGAGUCCGCAUGUUCACAUGAUUAAAGGUGUUCCGGUAGACGAUGGGGAUGCGUUCCAUUAGAUAGUAGGCGGGGUAACGGCCCACCUAGUCUUCGAUGGAUAGGGGUUCUGAGAGGAAGGUCCCCCACAUUGGAACUGAGACGCGGUCCAA
rnacentral:rRNA from 1 species